AACGAACGCUGGCGGCGUGCUUAACACAUGCAAGUCGAACGGAAAGGCUCCAGCUUGCUGGAGUACUCGAGUGGCGAACGGGUGAGUAACACGUGGGUAAUCUGCCCUGCACUCUGGGAUAAGCCUGGGAAACUGGGUCUAAUACUGGAUAUGACCUUUCUCCUUAUGGGGUUUGGUGGAAAGUUUUUCGGUGUAGGAUGAGCCCGCGGCCUAUCAGCUUGUUGGUGGGGUGAUGGCCUACCAAGGCGACGACGGGUAGCCGGCCUGAGAGGGUGAUCGGCCACAUUGGGACUGAGAUACGGCCCAGACUCCUACGGGAGGCAGCAGUGGGGAAUAUUGCACAAUGGGCGGAAGCCUGAUGCAGCGACGCCGCGUGAGGGAUGACGGCCUUCGGGUUGUAAACCUCUUUCAGCAGGGACGAAGCGUAAGUGACGGUACCUGCAGAAGAAGCACCGGCUAACUAUGUG
rnacentral:rRNA from 1 species